AAAGAAAAUGAGACUUUCAGAUGACGAUCUUCUAUACUGUUGUACCUCCUAUUUAUAGUGUUGUUCUACAAUUGUUCUUCUAACUAUUUAUUACGACAAACCCUCGUCUCCCUUCAAAACUCAUAACAUUUACCAAUAGGAUUGUAUCCUCAAAAUCAAAGUAGUGUAGAAGACUGGAGCCUCAUAACAGGGAAUAAAAGAAAAACGUCCCAAUAAGGCCAUGUAGCCUGAUUCUCCAUCAUAGAAUAGAGUAGAAAUUAGAGAGAUUAGACAAAGAAGAAUUUGAGAGAGAAAAAGAAUAAAAAGACAGAAAAUGAGACUUUCAGGUGAUGAU
rnacentral:misc_RNA from 1 species